rnacentral:tRNA from 1 species
ACAGGUAUAGUAUAAUGGCUAGUACGGCGGCCUUCCAAGCCGUUUAUCUGGGUUCGAAUCCCAGUACCUGUA